AUUGAACGCUGGCGGCAGGCCUAACACAUGCAAGUCGAACGGAGUGGCGAACGGGUGAGUAACACGUGGGUGAUCUGCCUUGCACUUCGGGGUAAGCUUGGGAAACUGGGUCUAAUACCGGAUAUUGCAAGAUGAGCUCGGGGCCUAUCAGCUUGUUGGGGGGGUAAUGGCCUACCAAGGCGUCGACGGGUAGCCGGCAUGAGAGGGUGUACGGCGACCUUGGGACUGAGAUACGGCCCAGACUGCUAUGGUGGGCAACAGUGGGGAAUAUUGCACAAUGGGCGGAAGCCUGAUGAAGAGACGCCGCGUGGGGGAUGAAGGCUUUCGGGUUGUAAACUCCUUUAGACAGGGACGCGGUACCUGUAUAAGAAGCACCGGCUAACUACGUGCCAGCAGCCGCGGUAAUUC
rnacentral:rRNA from 1 species